CCAAAGGAAUGCGAUUCCCAUUCCGGUUUAUGGUUGAUUUUUUUUUUGUUUUUUACAAAAAUACCCCCUUCAUUUCCAACCCUAGUCAAACAGAGAGCCAUCGCCGACAGAGACUGCAAGCAAUGUAGAACUCCAAACCAUCUGCCGUCGCCGAAACAACCUCUGGCGAGGUAAGGUAGGAGCGCUGCUGAAUCAUUCUCCUCCUCGUCCUCCUCCUCCUUCCAAAUCAACCGCCCAUGCUCUGGUGUGGGAUCUAAUUGCUUCGGUUUCAUAUGUAAUCCAAUCUUCACAGAAGACGAAUCAUUUUCAACAAAGGUUUCCUUUUUGCUAUAUAUUCUUGAAUGGUUAGGAAGCAUAACCAAAUGGUCAAAAAUCGAUGGACAUGAUGAAUGUGCUGAUGUUGGGAGUCUCCAAAAGAGUGGACACUUGAGAAAAGGAUACAUUCCUUACUUGUACGGCAAUGAUGGAAUCGUAGACAAGCUUUUCUCUGUUAUUGCUUGAGCAGGUUUUGCCAGUGAACCCAUUUUCUAGACCUAAUAAGCUGAAGGUAAACUGAGUUGAUAAGCUUUGUCUUACUUAAUGGCUUGACAUGGGGAAUAAAAUGGUGGUUAUUUGGUUGAGUAAUGAGAGUAUCUAUGAAAUUUAUGACUUGUACAAGUUACUGAAUUUACCUGCCUGGUUCAAGUUUCUAAAAGUUAUUUCGUGUACUACAAACAUUAGCCUUACUCUCCCAUGACAUUACCAGAUUAUAAUUAUGGCUUCCCAAGUUGAUUUACUGCAAAUAUUUUAACUGGUAAAUAUGUAGAUAUUUCAUGUCAACAACACUUGUUACUUUUGAACAGCUUCUACUUCAUGAACAUGUUUCUAGGAUUUACUUGUUGGUUCUAAAACAGCUCUACAUGAUAGAUAAAACUGUAGAAAUCUCAUAUUAGUUCUAAACAACUUUCCUAUUUUGAAUUUGGUUAGGAAUAUAUUUACUUGCCUUUUGUUAUUUCCUAUUUUGAAUUUAGAAGAUCAUAGAAGAAAUGUUGUUUCUUUUGUAUCUUAAAAUCAAUAUUCUUUUGUAAUAACUAAUAAGCACAUUCAACACUAUGAAUCUGUAAAUAAGGUUGAAACUUUUGUAAUGGAAUUAAUAAUGAAAUACAUUUACAUGCAGCUUUUAUUAAUUAUGAAUGUUGAAAGAAUACUAUGUACAAAAGUGAUAAUCCUCAUGUUAGGUUGUCUCCUAGCACAGAACCCCUUGCUUACUCUUCAUAAACACCUGCAAAAUUUCAGGGGCAAAAUUGGAAAUCAUGGCUGACUGCGAUUCCAGCCUCUUAAUGAACCAAACAGCAUAAAUCGGAAUCCGAUUCCGUUUCCGGUCAGAACCAAACAUCCAGGCGAAAUAGGCCAUUCCAAUUUCGAUUCUGAUCGUGAACCAAACGUGGCCCAUAGUUUUUUUUUUCGCUUAUGCUGUUGUUAGGGGAUUGUUUCGGUGGUAUUAGGUCUAGUUUCGGUGUAGCUUGAUGUCUGUGUUGUCGCGUGAGUCUCUGUUGUAGUAGCUUUUCUCUUUGCCCUUUGAAUUGAAAAUCUUUCUGAGAAAAAUAAAAACGAGUGAGACCACAAUAUGAUGAUGCAGCAUAGUAGGACUCGUGAGUAGCAUAUAACACGAUGAAUACAAGUUUGGAAUAAAUAUGAUAGACACCAUUGUUGCA